rnacentral:rRNA from 1 species
GACGAACGUUGGCGGCGUGCCUAAUACAUGCAAGUCGAGCGAGCGGAACUAACAGAUUUACCCCGGUAAUGACGUUAGGAAAGCGAGCGGCGGAUGGGUGAGUAGCACGUGGGGAACCUGCCCCAUAGUCUGGGAUACCACUUGGAAACAGGUGCUAAUACCGGAUAAGAAAGCAGAUCGCAUGAUCAGCUUUUAAAAGGCGGCGUAAGCUGUCGCUAUGGGAUGGCCCCGCGGUGCAUUAGCUAGUUGGUAAGGUAAAGGCUUACCAAGGCGAUGAUGCAUAGCCGAGUUGAGAGACUGAUCGGCCACAUUGGGACUGAGACACGGCCCAGACUCCUACGGGAGGCAGCAGUAGGGAAUCUUCCACAAUGGACGCAAGUCUGAUGGAGCAACGCCGCGUGAGUGAAGAAGGUUUUCGGAUCGUAAAGCUCUGUUGUUGGUGAAGAAGGAUAGAGGUAGUAACUGGCCUUUGUUUGACGGUAAUCAACCAGAAAGUCACGGCUAACUACGUGCCAGCAGCCGCGGUAAUACGUAGGUGGCAAGCGUUGUCCGGAUUUAUUGGGCGUAAAGCGAGCGCAGGCGGAAGAAUAAGUCUGAUGUGAAAGCCCUCGGCUUAACCGAGGAACUGCAUCGGAAACUGUUUUUCUUGAGUGCAGAAGAGGAGAGUGGAACUCCAUGUGUAGCGGUGGAAUGCGUAGAUAUAUGGAAGAACACCAGUGGCGAAGGCGGCUCUCUGGUCUGCAACUGACGCUGAGGCUCGAAAGCAUGGGUAGCGAACAGGAUUAGAUACCCUGGUAGUCCAUGCCGUAAACGAUGAGUGCUAAGUGCUGGGAGGUUUCCGCCUCUCAGUGCUGCAGCUAACGCAUUAAGCACUCCGCCUGGGGAGUACGACCGCAAGGUUGAAACUCAAAGGAAUUGACGGGGGCCCGCACAAGCGGUGGAGCAUGUGGUUUAAUUCGAAGCAACGCGAAGAACCUUACCAGGUCUUGUCAUCUAGUGCCAUUUGUAGAGAUACAAAGUUCCCUUCGGGGACGCUAAGACAGGUGGUGCAUGGCUGUCGUCAGCUCGUGUCGUGAGAUGUUGGGUUAUGUCCCGCAACGAGCGCAACCCUUGUUAUUAGUUGCCAGCAUUAAGUUGGGCACUCUAAUGAGACUGCCGGUGACAAACCGGAGGAAGGUGGGGAUGACGUCAAGUCAUCAUGCCCCUUAUGACCUGGGCUACACACGUGCUACAAUGGGCAGUACAACGAGAAGCGAGCCUGCGAAGGCAAGCGAAUCUCUGAAAGCUGUUCUCAGUUCGGACUGCAGUCUGCAACUCGACUGCACGAAGCUGGAAUCGCUAGUAAUCGCGGAUCAGCACGCCGCGGUGAAUACGUUCCCGGGCCU